rnacentral:rRNA from 1 species
AGGACGAACGCUGGCGGCGUGCUUAACACAUGCAAGUCGAGCGGUAAGGCCCUUUCGGGGGUACACGAGCGGCGAACGGGUGAGUAACACGUGAGCAAUCUGCCCUUCACUUCGGGAUAAGCCUCGGAAACGGGGUCUAAUACCGGAUAUGACUGCGCCAUGCAUGUGGUGUGGUGGAAAGUUCUGGCGGUGAGGGAUGAGCUCGCGGCCUAUCAGCUUGUUGGUGGGGUAAUGGCCUACCAAGGCUUCGACGGGUAGCCGGCCUGAGAGGGUGACCGGCC